rnacentral:miRNA from 1 species
UGAUGAUGAUGAUGAUGAUGAUGAUGACGAUGAUGAUGAUGGCGGUUGUGGUGGUGUUUAGUCCUCCUCCUUCUCGUCGUCGUCGUCGUUGUCGUGGUUG